GGGACGGCCGUCCCAGGCAGCGCCCAGGGACCAGCCCGCGGCCAUCGGGGGGGUGGGGUCGCCUCCGGUGCCCCAGCCGGGGCAGGAUGGCGCGGGGUCGCCGCUUCCGCGGCCUGCGGGGCCACCGGAAUGGUAGAGAGAUCGUGAGGCCUCCCCGUUCCACCGCCCCUCUCAGCCUCGGGCCGCUGCUGCUUCUCACUGCCUGGAUGUGUCUCUCCUGGGGCUGGAUGGCCUCUGCCCCCCGCCUCGUGCCUGCGUUUCCCGGUCCGUGGCGUUACUCCUACCCCUGCCAUCCUCAGCCUGCCCUGCGGCACAGCCCCGCUAGUGGAGUGAGUUAGGGGGCAAUCCCAGGCUUUCUCACAGCCCGGGUUUUACAUUCUGCAUCACAGAAUAGUUGAAGCUGGAAGGGACCUGUGGGGAUCACCCAGUCCAACUCCCCUGCCAAGACAGGGUGACCCAGAGCAGGUGACAGAAACGCGUCCGGGUGGGUUUGGAAUGUGCCCGGAGCGGGAGACUCCACGCCUCCCUGGGCAGCUGCUCCCGUGCUCCCAGCUGCCAGGAUGAGAUGCUGCUGCCCGAGGCGGUGUCUCCCUGCAUCCCCUGGAAAGGAUGAGCUGAGCCCAGCCCCAGACAGGUCUGGAGGGUUUGGGGGUGUGGACAAAGGGAUAUUGGUCCUCGACAGAGGACAACCAUCCCUGCCUGGUGCCAGCUGCGAGUGGAGCUGUCCCGGGCCUGGCUCUCAGAGGUGCAGGAGGGAGCUUCCUCCUCGUCCCGUGGAUGCUGAAUCUUUGCAAUUGCAUUGCUUCGGGCGAUUUCUCUGGGAAAAAUGUGUGGGAAAUGGGGAGGUGGGUGAUGGAAAGCCGCUGGGCUGGAAAAUUAAGGAGGGGGCAACACCCUGGGUUGGCAGUAGGGCAGGGGGAGCAGGUAGAGAGGUGAUGGGGAGGAGGGAGCACCUGGAGGGAGUGGUGGGGCAGCUGGAGCUAUGGCAUGGGGCAGAUGGUGCCAUCCUGAAGAGGAGCUCCUCCAGAAUGUGCAGGAAGAGUUUGUGGAGCAUGUGAGCAACCCUCUGAUCUCUGGGAUGCUGGACAGCCUGCUGACCCACUGGAUUCUAAGACUCAGUGAGGUGGAAGAGGUGCAGGAUCAAUGCAGGAUGCACGUGGAUAAGCCUUGACUCCUCAUAAACAUUGUGCUCCAGAAGGGCACCAAGGCCAGCCAGAUCUUCACUGACAGCCUCAGGAUGGUGGAGCAGCUGGGUCUGAGCUGACUCAGGGUCGUCUGCUGUGCCACUGGCCCUUCCUGACGCUGAGGUACACCCGUUGCCCUCGUUGGUAUCGAGGGCCAGCAGCGCAUCCGGCAGUGCUCCCUGAGUCCGACAGUGCUUCCCUAUGUUCCCUCAGCAGAUGCCAUCACAAGAAUGGACUACAAUGUUCUGGAAGCUCUGCCUCUUCUCAGGCCACUGAUGCCGUGCCAUGGUGACACUCUUGACCUUGCAUCUCGUGGCAGCCUUUUGUCUGUGCCCCAAACCUGGUACCUGGCCAGCAGGAAGGAGUGGGGAGAAAUCCCCCGCUGAUCCUGGGCUCCAGAGCUCGUGGCUCGGUCCAAAGGUCUUGUGUGCUGAUAGCUGGGGCCAGACCGCACCCCCAGCUGGCUGGUGGCACCCAAGGAACUCAUUUCAGUAGCCAGUGACUCUGGAGCUUAUUGGUCUGAUGUUCUUCACAUGAAACAAAUAAUACACAGAGAGCAAAAGUG